CGUGCUGGCCGACGUCACGGGCCAGGCGCCCGCCCGGGUGCUCGCGGGACCUCUCCAGCCGCGCGUGGGUGCCUGGCUGCCGAGUGGGGAGUGACGGGGCCUGGCGAGUGGGCGCUCUUCUUCCGGUCACCGGGGCGUCCCUGGCGCCGAGUGGGACUGGCCGGCCUCUGUUCUUAGCCUCGCCGAAGGGGCGCUCGCCGCCGGUUGUCUGCCUGCUUAUCUUCCUCACUCUCCUGGCGUUCCUGCAUUCAGACAAGUGGAGCUGAAAGACAAACCCUGGUGUGUGUCCUGACAAGUGGAGCUGAGGUUCACACCCCAGCAAGCAACCUAAUGAAGAGAGAAGAAACAUGGGGAUGAGUGCCUAUUUGUACCAGCCUGAUGGGUGUGAUUGGUCGCUUCCUGUAUGCGCCCGCCACCGGGAUCGAACUCCGAACCUAGGCAUGUGCCCCCACUGGAAAUCAAACAGGCAACCUUUGGGUGCACAGGACACUCCAAUCGGGGCCAGGGCGCCACCGACUUCUGAGUAUUUAUUUUGUGUAGAUAUUCCUCAUCUUGAUCCCUCAAUGCCUGGGCUUUUAAAAUAUUUUUUAAAAUUAAUUUCAGAGAGGAAGGGAGAGAGAGAGAGACAAACAUCAACACAUCAAUGAUGAGAGGAUCAGCCAUUGUCUGCCUCCCGCCUCCGACUGGGGAUCGAACCCACAGCUGGGGGAUGCGCCCCAACAGGGUAUGGAACCUCGGCCCCCUGGCUCAGAGGCCGGCACCCAACCACCGAGCCUCGCCAGCCGGCAAGGGUCAGCUCUUAAGAGCAUUUCAGCCAGCGCAGUCUCAGGCCGCAAAUGGUAAA